rnacentral:lncRNA from 1 species
GCACCAGCUGUGGUGCCUGUGCAAAUUGCUGAUCUCGAUGAAGGAUGACAUGCCAGCAGCCCGCCCAUCGCCUGACCCCGGAGUUUGGAGGGAGUACACAACAAGGCUUUCUACUGCGAUCAAGUGCAAGAUAAUUUGAAACGUUCGGUUGGCACAGUUCUAGAGAAAUUUGUGCUUGACGAUGUACGAGUGCAAUGAGAAAU